rnacentral:rRNA from 1 species
AACACAGGUGCUGCAUGGCUGUCGUCAGCUCGGGUCGUGAGAUGUUGGGUUAAGUCCCGCAACGAGCGCAACCCUUGUCCCUAGUUGCUACGCAAGAGCACUCUAGGGAGACUGCCGGUGACAAACCGGAGGAAGGUGGGGAUGACGUCAAGUCCUCAUGGCCCUUAUGGGUAGGGCUUCACACGUCAUACAAUGGUCGGAACAGAGGGUUGCCAACCCGCGAGGUGGAGCCAAUCCCAGAAAACCGAUCGUAGUCCGGAUUGCACUCUGCAACUCGAGUGCGUGAAGCUGGAAUCGCUAGUAAUCGCGGAUCAGCAUGCCGCGGUGAAUACGUUCCCGGGUCUUGUACACACCG